CCUACGGGAGGCAGCAGUGGGGAAUAUUGGACAAUGGGCGAAAGCCUGAUCCAGCAAUGCCGCGUGAGUGAUGAAGGCCUUAGGGUUGUAAAGCUCUUUUACCAGGGAUGAUAAUGACAGUACCUGGAGAAUAAGCUCCGGCUAACUCCGUGCCAGCAGCCGCGGUAAUACGGAGGGAGCUAGCGUUGUUCGGAAUUACUGGGCGUAAAGCGUGCGUAGGCGGUGAUUCAAGUCAGAGGUGAAAGCCUGGAGCUCAACUCCAGAACGGCCUUUGAAACUAGAUCGCUAGAAUUAUGGAGAGGUAAGUGGAAUUCCGAGUGUAGAGGUGAAAUUCGUAGAUAUUCGGAAGAACACCAGUGGCGAAGGCGACUUACUGGACAUAUAUUGACGCUGAGGUACGAAAGCGUGGGGAGCAAACAGGAUUAGAUACCCUGGUAGUCCACGACGUAACGAUANAUAACUAGACUGUCGGUCGUCUCAGAGACUGUAGUGGUCGGCGACGCUAACGACAUUAAGUUAGUUACCGUCCGUCGGGUAGGUACGGUCGGCGAGUAAGUAAACGUUAACUUAAAUUAGUAAGUUAGUUACGGCGUUGAGACGNGCGACGGACGACGACGAGGGAGGAGG
rnacentral:rRNA from 1 species